rnacentral:lncRNA from 1 species
GGUUACCAGGGUUAGAGCAGCCGUUAGAGGUCCUGCUUAACCAUUGGUGGGAGUCACAGUGGGCCCCAUCCCUAAGCGAGCAGCUGUCGUCAAGCUGCCGUUAGAGAUCCUGUUUAGCCAUUGGUUGGUGCUGCAGUUGGCCCCUCCCCCAAGCGUGCAACUGUCAGUGAGGAACCGUUAGCAGACCCAUCUCACCCAACGGUCCCCAGAGUGGUGGUCAGUGAUCCUUGGUGGCCGUCAGGUGGAGAGUGAGGCUCAGGAAUACCUUGGCCACUUUGGAAAAAUGUUCCCUUGAAGAAAAGUCCCAUGUUCCUGUGGACUUACUCUUUGAUGAGCUACUAUUACAUCUUUCUGCUGUUGUUGAAUGCAUCCCUAUAUCUCAGCUCCUGACACCAUCUGAAGAACAGUAUCUUCUCUGGCUUUCCAGAAUACACCCUUCAUAGGCCCACUCCCUUUUAAUAGCAUAUCAUUGUGCAAUUUUCCUUUACACCAGGUACCGCAAUUGUUUUUCUUUGUAAGCUGUGUUUAAUUUUGUGUCACAGGCUCUGCAUAGUAAUUCACCAAUGUAU